rnacentral:rRNA from 1 species
UGGGGAAUAUUGCACAAUGGGCGCAAGCCUGAUGCAGCCAUGCCGCGUGUGUGAAGAAGGCCUUCGGGUUGUAAAGCACUUUCAGCGGGGAGGAAGGCGGUGAGGUUAAUAACCUCAUCGAUUGACGUUACCCGCAGAAGAAGCACCGGCUAACUCCGUGCCAGCAGCCGCGGUAAUACGGAGGGUGCAAGCGUUAAUCGGAAUUACUGGGCGUAAAGCGCACGCAGGCGGUCUGUCAAGUCGGAUGUGAAAUCCCCGGGCUCAACCUGGGAACUGCAUUCGAAACUGGCAGGCUAGAGUCUUGUAGAGGGGGGUAGAAUUCCAGGUGUAGCGGUGAAAUGCGUAGAGAUCUGGAGAAAUACCGGUGGCGAAGGCGGCCCCCUGGACAAAGACUGACGCUCAGGUGCGAAAGCGUGGGAGCAAACAGG